rnacentral:rRNA from 1 species
UACGGAGGGUGCGAGCGUUGUCCGGAAUCACUGGGCGUAAAGGGCGCGUAGGCGGCGCGAGCAGUCGAUCGUGAAAGUCCGGAGCUCAACUCCGGAUCGGCGGUCGAUACUCUCGUGCUUGAGCACUGUAGAGGCAGAUGGAAUUCCGGGUGUAGCGGUGGAAUGCGUAGAGAUCCGGAAGAACACCGGUGGCGAAGGCGGUCUGCUGGGCAGUUGCUGACGCUGAGGCGCGACAGCGUGGGGAGCGAACAGG